rnacentral:tmRNA from 1 species
GGGGCUGACCGGUUUUGACAGCGGGUAGAAGUGGUUUGUAAGCAUGCAGCGCGUCAUUGACCGGCGCUUUAAUCUCGGUUGAUAAAAAUUUAACUGGCGAAAAUAAUUAUGCUCUCGCUGCUUGAUUGAAGUUCAGUAGAUCAUAGCUUUAUCCUUACGCAAGGCGUUUGGACGAGACAUCACCCGGAAACUGUGGCUUCGAAGUGUUCCGACAAGGUGGUGCAGAUAUAUCGGAGAUAGUUCGAAGGAAGUCCUGUACUUCGGAUGAAAAUUAAGGGAAUAAGGUUUCGGUUGGUAGCUUCGGUCUUGCCGAAACACGAAAAUCAAAGCGAAGAUAAGCAUGUAGAAAGCAAAUUAAUUCCUCGUUUGGACGAGAGUUCGAAUCUCUCCAGCUCCACAA